rnacentral:lncRNA from 1 species
CCGGUUAUUAUUUACUUGUUAAUCUUCCUUUCUUUAAUCAUUAAUAAUUCUAACUUGUAAUUUCUUAACUCAAUUAUAUGCAUAAUCACAUGCUUUAUUAUAUGCCGUCCUCUGUUUCUCUUGUGUUCACUUGUCAUUUUCUCAUGGGUUCUCAGGCCCACCCCUUUUAUCUCUUUGUUUUAUAUUUAUUGCAAACUGCCUUGUAAGUUUUGUUUUACUAUAUAAUUUCACAUUGUUGAUCAUCAUCAUUUGAUGACUAAUGGUUUCUUUCUUUUUUUUUUUUUUUUAAGUUACAGAUUAGUUGAUCGAGUCAACUGUGAACUGGGUCUUGGCCCUUGCAUGGAUGACAUGUGUAGCAGACAGUCUUAUUUGAUUAAGAAUUAUUAUUACUAUUUAUUAUUAUUAAUUACAAGCAUAAUACAUAAGAAUAAGAUUGCAAGUGUUUUAACAUGUAUUAAAGUCAAAGCUGUAGAGUAGUUGGAAAAAAAGUGGGAGAAUCUCCCUUAUGUCUAUGAAGUUGAUCCAUCUUCUAUCAUCAGUGUUAGUCGUGUGUUCGAAACUGAAAGAUAACCCAUUAGUCAUAGAAUUAGCUCCAUUGCGCUGGACCACAACCCAUCUUCACAUGGCUUCUCUUCAUCAAGAUUCCAACAGGUUUAGAUUUAAGUCCUUCUACUUUCACCAACCAGUCUUGUAAUUUCAAAUUUUAGUUAACAAUGUUUCCCCACCACAGCAUACCUACUCUUUCUUGUUUAUUGUGUUUUGUUUUACAAGGAUGACAACUGCAGCAGAUGUUAGAAAAAAUAUCAAGAAUGUCUGUUUCUUUAAACAAGAUUCUACCCAUUUUUCAAUGGUACAGAUUUGGAGCGUCAAUAAGAAGAUUAUGAUCUUGAAAAAAAUACCCUAAAAAAGAAUCCAUCCUUUGCCUUAGAGAUUCUAUCCAUUUUCUUACAGCAUCAAGGAAUUAGGUUCUUGCAAGUAAAAUGUUUCCUUUCUCUUAAAGUGAACCAGAUAAGAAACUGAUGGGAAGGUGUGAAUGUGAUCUUGCAAAAUCUUGCAAAAAAUCUUAUUCUUGUUGAGGUUCCCAUCUAAAAAGCUUUUUCUUUUUUGCAAAUAUUGUAUUAAGAAGCAUACGCCUUUGCUUUCUUCCUCUUCUGAUCUUUCCACCCUCUUUCCAUCGCAUUCUCUUUUCCACUUUUCAGGAUUUUCCCUCAAAAUAAUAAUCUUUUAGUUUAAGAAUUAGCACAAGGAAUUUGGAAUUAUGGGAUUCAUUACAAGAUAACCAUCGAUCCAUUACCAGACUUCCAUGUUCCACUCCACGUUGCUGUAACAGUUAAAGCCGUUUUUAUCACAGAUAAGAGACACGAAACCUAAUGAUAAAGCAUUAGAUUGCUUAGAUGAGUUAUUUCUGAUUUGUAAACCAGAAGCCAAAUUUACUGAUACAGGAACUUGAAGAGGGGGACUGAAGACUAAAAAAACUACAGAGAAUUUCUUGCAGACUUUGUAGUUAUGGUUUUCUUCUGAAAUAAGGAAAACUGUUGCAAC